rnacentral:rRNA from 1 species
UACGGAGGGUGCAAACGUUGCUCGGAAUCAUUGGGCGUAAAGCGCGCGUAGGCGGCGAAGCGAGUUGGAUGUGAAAGCCCUGGGCUCAACCUAGGAUGUGCAUACAAAACUGCUUCGCUUGAAUCUCGGAGGGGGUCAGGGAAUUCCCGGUGUAGAGGUGAAAUUCGUAGAUAUCGGGAGGAACACCAGUGGCGAAGGCGCUGACCUGGACGAUGAUUGACGCUGAGGCGCGAAAGCGUGGGGAGCAAACAGG